rnacentral:rRNA from 1 species
UGGUGUGGAUAAUUAUUGGGCCUAAAGCAUCCGUAGCCGGCUAAGCAAGUUCCCUGUUAAACCCACCGAUUUAAUCGUUGGAUUGCGGGGAAUACUGCUCAGCUAGGGGGCGGGAGAGGCCGACGGUAUUUCCGGGGUAGGGGUGAAAUCCUAUAAUCCCGGGAGGACCACCAGUGGCGAAG